AUACAGAGGGUGCAAGCGUUAAUCGGAAUUACUGGGCGUAAAGCGCGCGUAGGCGGUUUGUUAAGUCGGAUGUGAAAGCCCUGGGCUCAACCUGGGAACUGCAUUCGAAACUGAUUGACUAGAGUAUGGUAGAGGGUGGUGGAAUUCCUAGUGUAGCGGUGAAAUGCGUAGAUAUUAGGAGGAACAUCAGUGGCGAAGGCGACCACCUGGACCAAUACUGACGCUGAGGUGCGAAAGCGUGGGGAGCAAACAGGAUUAGAUACCCCAGUAGUCC
rnacentral:rRNA from 1 species